AUGGAUUCUGGGGGAAACCCCAUGGGAUUCCCUAACGUCAAAGCUGGGCUUUCCCUGGUGAGAAUGCCUCCACCCCACCCCACUUCCCCAGGGCUGUCCCCACACGGUCAUCCAGGUGGCACUGCCACCAGCGUGGUGACAGCCAGUGGCACUUUUAGCACGGCCAUGCCAACACACAGCUCCAACCCAAUGGAUUCUGGGGGAAACCCCAUGGGAUUCCCUAUUGUCAGAGCCGAGCUUACCCCAGCGAGAAUGUCACCACCCCAUCCCCAUGUCCCCGUGUCCCCAAGGCUGUCCCCACAUGGCCGUUGGUGGCACCAGUUUGGGGGACAGCCAGUGGCACCUCACAGCACGACUGUGCCAUCUCACAACCCCAACCCAAUGGUUUUUUGGGAAGACUCAAUGGGAUUCCUCAUCAAACUUGGACUUUCCCGACUGAGAGAAGCGAUGCCACCACCCCAUCCCCACAUCUCCAUGUCCCCACAUCCCCACAUCUCCAUGUCCCCAUGUCCCUGCAUCAUCCAUGUCCCCACAUUCCCACAUCCCAACAUCUCCACGUUGCCACCACCCCAUCCCCCACGUCCCCAUGUCCCCACAUCUCCAUGUCCCCACAUUCCCAUGUCCCCAUGUCUCCACAUUGCCACAUCUCCAAAUUCCCACAUUCCCAUGUCUCCAUAUCCCCACAUUCCCAUAUCCCCAUGUCUCCACGUUGCCACCAACCCAUCUCCACGUCCCCACAUCCCCACAUCCCCACGUCCCCACGUCCCCACGUCCCCACGUCGGUACCUCUCCUCUCCACAGUGUGGAUGCACUGCUGGACAAACCGUGGCACCGUGCCGUGCUCCCGCUCACACAACGCCUGCAGCGAGCACCCAAAAACCUGAUCUGGGGGAAAAAGGGGGAGGUGGGCACGGGCGGGAGGUGACAUUUGGGGACACCCACGGCGCAUCCCUACCUUUGAUGUAUCCACGCUCACGCAGGGACUGCAGCGUCGGCCGCCGCUGGAGGAACUUGCGGAGUUUGUUGCGCACUUUGUUGGAAUCGCUGUCACCUGGGGUGGGUGCUGCGGGAUGGCACAGGGUGAGCAUCACCCGUGGGGACAUCGGGGUGGCACGGGGUGCUGGCACUCACCCGCUGCCCUCCUCUCCUCACCGCCCAGCUUCUCCCGCGAGCCGAACUCCGUCCCGCUCUCGGCAUCCUCCUCACUGGGGCCAUCGGAGCCCUGUUGGGGAGCGGGGUCAGUCGGAGGGACUGGGGAUGUGUGGGGGGACACGGCAGCGUGGCCGCCCCUCACCAUUAGCACGAUGCUGUCGGCGAUGGCCCGGUGCCACGUGGUGA
rnacentral:lncRNA from 1 species